GCUUAGAAUUAGUAAUUCUAUAAAAUACUAAAAGUUAAUUUUAAGGUGAACCACCCCUUUAAUAAGUGACAGAAGGGUAAAGGCAUGAAGGGUGGAAGAUGCAGGUGGGAGGCCAACAGCAGAGAUGAACAGAGAGUGGGAGAGAGAGAGAGGAGAUUGAUGACACACAAGACUGGAGAGGAACCUUGGUGGGAGGGAAAACUGUACUUUGAUACCUGGAAGGUUCGAAGCAGCAGCAGAACAAGUAAGAGUUUCAGGGUGUGGGAGGGGUAGAGGGAAAAACAGAGAUUUGUUUGUGCUCACCAAUGGCAUGUUUAUUUUGACAGUAAAUUUACCAAACCAAGAUGUAAUUGGAACAGAAUCCUUCAUCUAAUGGCACACAGGGAUCUGAAAAAAUGCAGAUUAUCUCAUAAUUUGUCUGCUUCUACAGCAUGAUAGCGUGAUUGGAGAAGGAGGGGGAGUGGAACAGCGAGUGACAGGCAGACAGAGCGCAGAAGGAUCAGGAGCAAAGAGUAACAAGGUGUGGGAGGGGCAGAGUGGCUGUGACGGAAAGAGGAGGGGGAGCGGAACAGAGAAACAGACGCAGCGAGACUAGACAUGGAGGGGGAACACUGAGGGAGCAAGCAGCAGAGGGUGGGAGACUAAAGGAGAAGCUAGAGCUGCCUUACCUCGGAAAAUGAAUCUCAUUGUAUCCAAAGACCGAGGAGGUCAGUUCUCAUCUUCCCUAAAUUCAAGAUGGCUAAAGUAAAAGAGAUGCAGGAUAUGGAAGUAAACCCUGGCUUCUAAUUCCUGUAUCUAAUCCCAGGACACCGGCAGAAGUAAAAUUUAACACAGCUCACAUAAAGACAAGAGGAGUUAUUGAGCGGACCUUUGGAGUCCUCAAAUCUACUUUCCGGUGUCUUUCAAAAUCUGGUGGAUGCCUGCAGUAUUCUCCAGAAACUGUUUCUCAGAUUAUUCAGGCUUGUGCGGUUCUGAACAAUGUUGCUUUAGACCAUGGAGUGAAUCUGGAAACUAAUGAGGAACUUCCUCCUGAAAUUCCCGGUUACCCUGCAGUUUCCCAAGAUUCGAGUGAUGAAGGGAAACGUGUGAGAUCGCAUCUCAUAACAUCAUUUUUCCAGUCAAAAACCAGAAAGUACAGAAAAUGGAUCAUUGUCAGUCUUUCAGGAUUUUUUAUGCCUAGCUUCCUGGUUUUCUUCUGUUCCACAGACGGCUUCCAGCUGCUGAGGUUGCUCAAUGUGUUGCUGGAUAACUUGGCAAAAAGAAAUAAAUAUUAUUUUUCAAACCAUA